rnacentral:rRNA from 1 species
GCACAAGCGGUGGAUGAUGUGGUUUAAUUCGACGCAACGCGAAGAACCUUACCAGGGCUUGACAUCCCCUGACCGCGUAUGAAAGUACGUUUUCACUUCGGGUGACAGGGAGACAGGUGGUGCAUGGUUGUCGUCAGCUCGUGCCGUGAGGUGUCGGGUUAAGUCCCAUAACGAGCGCAACCCCUAUCGUUAGUUGCCAGCAAGUAAAGUUGGGGACUCUAGCGAGACUGCCGGUGUAAACCGUGAGGAAGUGGGGAUGACGUCAAAUCAGCACGGCCCUUAUAUCCAGGGCUACACACGUGUUACAAUGGUCGGUACAAAGAGCAGCCACUUGGUGACAAGGCGCUAAUCUCAAAAGCCGAUCUCAGUUCGGAUCGAAGUCUGCAACUCGACUUCGUGAAGUUGGAUUCGCUAGUAAUCGCGCAUCAGCCAUGGCGCGGUGAAUACGUUCCCGGGCCUU